GCUGGUUGCAGUGGCAUGUGCCUGUAGUCCCAGCUACCUGGGAGGCUGAGGUGGGAGGAUCGCUUGAGCCCAGGAUUUCUGGGCUGUAGUACGCUAUGCCAACCGGGUGUCCGCACGAAGUUACACAUCAAUAUGGUGACCUCCUGGAAGCGGGGGACCACCAGCUUGCCUAAGGAGGGGUGAACCGGCCCAGGUCGGAAACGGAACAGGUCAAAACUCCUGUGGUGAUCAGUAGUGGGAUCACACCUGUGAAUAACCACUGUACUCCAGCCUGGGCAGCAUAGCGAGACUCCAUCUCU
rnacentral:SRP_RNA from 1 species